rnacentral:rRNA from 1 species
UGGGGAAUAUUGCACAAUGGGCGCAAGCCUGAUGCAGCCAUGCCGCGUGUAUGAAGAAGGCCUUCGGGUUGUAAAGUACUUUCAGCGAGGAGGAAGGUGUUGUAGUUAAUACCGCAGCAUUGACGUUACUCGCAGAAGAAGCACCGGCUAACUCCGUGCCAGCAGCCGCGGUAAUACGGAGGGUGCAAGCGUUAAUCGGAAUUACUGGGCGUAAAGCGCACGCAGGCGGUCUGUCCAGUCGGAUGUGAAAUCCCCGGGCUCAACCUGGGAACUGCAUCCGAAACUGGCAGGCUAGAGUUCUUG